GUUUUUUUAUUUUGUUUACUUUUAUUAACUAUUAUUUAAUACUUUUAAGUUAAGACAAAAAACAAUUUUAAAAAUGUGUAAAAAGUUAAAAGAAAUCGCUUCUUCAGGAGCAAAAGCUUUAGUUAGGCUGAUGAUUUUGUUUUUAAUGGUAGCUGAAUUCUUCCUGUUGUUUGCCUACUACAGAUUCCUCGGGUGGGCCUAUGAAAAGUUGUUACUUGUAACUCUCUUUUCGGGUUUUGUGUUCAUCUACAUACUGAUCAUCAUGGGUUCGAUCUCAAACAGAAUCAGCGCAUUUGUGGAAGCGACAUGGGCAUUUUAUGCAUGCUGUGCCUACUUCGUUUCAGGAUUUAUCUUCAUAUGGUUCUCAAAAUAUAAUAUUUUCUAUACAUACCAAGAAGCAGAAGGUCAAGCAAAAUUUGACGAGAAGUCGUAUUCAUUCGGUAGCAGGCUGAAUAAAAUGCUUUUCCAUGAUAGCCGAGAACCCUUGGCCAUCUGCUGUACCAUUUUGUCUUUCCUGAUUUCUAUAUUGACUCUUCUCCACAUGCUCGUAGUAAUGAAUAAAGUGGACUUGGACUCUUUGAAUAUUUACAAACAGAGAAGAUCGACAGAAAAAACAGCAAAAAUGUCAGUCAUUACUCGUGAAACCAUUUUAAACUGACCAUUAAUUUUUUGUCUUUUUUUGAAAGCAAACCCUAGAACCAAAAAAGUGACUAUAAUUUUGCGCAACAAUCUGAACUGUAAUUCAUAAAUUUUGUAAAAUUUCAACAAUUAUUACAGAUUUGAGACAUAACACAAAAAAUACAGUAUGGGACAGCAAAACUUGGGGAACCAACAGCCCAUUGAUAACAAUACAGAAUUUGUCUAACUCGACAUAUUUUUUAAUUUUACCUACCAUUGAAAAAUCUACUUUAACUCUACAUGAAAUAAUUUUAAUUGGAAUAAAUGCAUUAUUUGGUA